rnacentral:lncRNA from 1 species
CUAUAUCAAGAUCAACUCAACGAGCACUGAUCAAGGAUGGACUCAAGAGUUUUUGUAGUGGUUUUAUGCCUUAAAGGUACACAUGCGUUCAAACAAGAUCUCAUCUCUAGGUUAAGGUAAACUGUUAAGAUUUAAACUUACUCAUAUUACCUUCCACCAUGGGGCUUGCAACCGUCACUUGUGUCUUGAGCAGUUAAAAGAUAGAAUGGUCAAGUCAAGCGCCAUGUCUCUUGUUCUUUGAUCAGCUAUAGCUCUGGAGUUUUUGCAGAUUUUCAAAUAAAACUCAGAGAUUCCUUGUAUGACUCUCUCUAGUCUCUCUUUUGUGGUAUUUCUAGAUCCUUACCAACGCAGUGAUGAUAUACGCCUUCUCUCAAAGUAUGUAGUAUUUGUGGUAUGAGGCAUAGUGAUAUUGCCUUCUCUCUCACCCUACUCUAACAAGGUUUUGAUAUCUGGGGCUCAUAGGUGGGAGACAGCUAAUACAUACUUACAAGACAUUUAUUGCAUAGUCAAACCAUGGAUCCUGAGAAACAAGUCAAUAAGUCAAAUCAAGAUGUGCAUGUGUGGCGAAUGAAUGGUGUAUGGUGAUGAUGUUGAUAAUGGUGAAAACAAUGGUGAAAGUCUAAUUCUACUUUUGCUCUUUUGAGGGGAUACAUACCUUUCGUGCGCUUUGAAGCUUUUUGAGGAGAAUGAGAUGCUCUAUAUUUUCUUUUUCUUUUCUCUCAGGUGGGUAUCUUGUACCCCUAAUUCUACUGUCGGACACUUGUCCAUUUUUACCUCUCGUCUCACUUUUUCUUUUCCUUCGAGGUUCCGGGCACUUGCCCUUUUUAUUUCCUCGUAUUUAUUUUUCUUUUUUUUAGAGCACUCAUCUCCUGAAAUAAUAUAGCAAGUGGUAGUAACCAAAAUAUCAAGAGCAUUUAUUUCACGGGGAAUAACAGGGAUGGGAUAAUGUUUUUGGCUAUUCUCUCCUGGAUAGGAGUAGAAUAAUUUUUAGGUGAAUCUGGAGACAGAAAGGAGUGGAUGUAUGUGGAUGCGUAUUCCAGAGUAGAAGCAGCAUGUAUGAGUGAACGUGCAAAUGAAUCUUGAUUUUAACCGCAUGACAAGCUCCUAAGGGUCUACACAGCUUGACCACACUCAAUGCUCAUAAGCAGUAAAAAGUAAAUGUAUGGUUCAUAGUCUAAUAAGCAUGUAUAUAUGGCUGUGGUAGGAUUUUAAACUCUCAUCAUAUAGGAACUUAUCAUGCAACAUUUUAAAGAUUUUCAAAGAUAAAAUUAUCCAGAAUUCUAGCAUCUCUAGGAACAGAUAAACAGCAGCCCAACCUUCCCAUAUCAUAUCCGUUAACGACUUAGACCUUAGAUCAAGUACUUUUCCCACAAGUUCAUAUUUAGAGCAAAUCUUAAUUCAUAACAGUCAUGCCUAAACUUGAGAGAGAUUUCAAUUUUGAGAACUAAUCAUGGCAGAGCAACUAUUCAUCAUUUCCAUGUGAGAGCUUAUCAUGAGGGUUCAUAGCAAACUUUAUUUAUUUAUUUAUUUAGCAAACUAAGAAAAGAUAUAUAUAUAAGCAUAAAAUCUUUAUUUGGGUUUUUAUGAUUAUGUAUCUUUUUAUUAUUUGAGUAAAGUAUAAACGCGAGUAGAAACACUUAGCUGGAUAAAUGGGGGUGCUCUCCCCCAAGCUGUAUUUUGACGUAAUUUUUCUGAUGUAGCUAGCAUGUGGCGGAGGUGUAUUCGAAUGUCGGUAGCACCCUGACAGCGAUUAGGAUGUCCUCCGUCUGCUAGUCUUCUUUGAUCCUUAAAUUCUGUGGAGCUCAAAUAGACAACAAAUCUUUGUGGAACUGGUUUGUGUUAGCAUAAAAAUUUCUUUGCCUUUAUCAUGUUGAGCUUCCUCUAAUAAAUAUUACUCUCUUUGGUAGGAUCAUAAAUUUAUUUUUAUAUUUUCAUUUUUAUAGGAUAGGAAUAUAUUUAUUUUAUUUUACGCCACCACAGUGAAUGUACUUAUGGGUUUCAUGCCACGAGCAUACUCACAUGGGGCUUAGUAUUUUAAACAUUUUUAUUUUCUUUUCAAGAUAGCAUGAUUAACUAAUAAGCUAUUUAAGGAAAGUAAGUAAUUAAAGGGAAAAGGGAAUGCAGAAAGGAUAAAUAUGGAUAACUACGAUUUUACCUUUCGGCGAGGGUUCAAUGUUUUAAGUCUUCUGAACAAGACUUCUCACCGUGUUCAUUCUUCAGGUUCGUCAUUUGAUUCAGGUGCGGACCUUGACGUCUGCACUUCUUAAUACGAUGUCACCCAUGUUCCUCGUUUGCCCAGCAGUUCGAAGUGCGGCGUUGGCAGCAUCCUGCUCAGUGUGUUUGUGCUCAUAGAUCCAGGUCCUUCACUUGGUAGAGUCUGAGAGUUAUAAAACUCCUCCAUGUUUUGCUCGAAGUGUACCUACUCGUAGAGACAAGGUAGAGAUCAAGUGCAUGGGUCCUGUUGGUGGGAAACACCAAUAGAACCAAAAGUGUAUUUGUUCUUCUCUAACCUUAAGCUUAGGGAGCAAGAUAAAGGUGAUGGAUAAUAAGAUCAUGAGUGUAGCAUUUAAAACAUUUGUCAGAUCAGAUCGCUUCAACCUUAUGGAAAGAUAAUCUAUCUAUGUAUAUGUCUUUUUCUUUAUAUCUCUCAAAGAUUGAAUGUUUAAUAUUUUAGCUCAUAUGAUUAGGAGUGUGGGAUCAUGGAGGUAGUACUAGGAACAAAGAUUAAAGGACUAAACAUGCUGAAUCAGUUGGGUUGGUUAAUUUUGAGUUAUAAAUCAUACAUGUUUGUCUCUUUAUUUAUGUGAAUGCUAGAACCAAGGAAAAGCUUAUAAAAAUGAUAGCCACAUAUCUUAAGAUGUUACCUUAAUUGAAGAGUGAUGGUAUAGUAUCACCUUGUGGAAUCUUUCCUUUCUUAGCGGUUGUGCAUCGUGUUUAUGGCACCCUCCAUGGAUCAUCUCUUAUGAUCUACAUCUUCCUUGUCUAAAUUGUUAAACUCCAUGUGUCUCUCUCCUUGUCUCCAAUGUGAGUUUAUCUCAGGACUUCCCAGGUUGAUAUUGAAAGUUUUCCUGCAGGGGUUAGUCCGACAACAUAUACUAAUAUCUACUCAAGCAAUUUUUAGUUCACUAACCAAACUAGACUCCAUGUCUAAUCAGAUUAAGGAAGGCUAUUUAACCUAAGCACCAUGCUUAAUUUAGAUGCCAAUGGAAGUAUGUAGAGUACUUCCAAACCAACACUUGCUAGUAAAAAGACAAAGGUAGCAUGACAGCAUUUAUACAGAUCUACUCAAGUGGAGAUAAAGUAGUGUGAUUAGUAUUUAACAAAUUGAGCAUGUCUCAAAAGUAGGGACAACCAGCAU